ensembl:lncRNA
GAGCACGGAGCAGGAGGCUAACCUGAUUAGGAGGGACAGGAGCAGUUCCAUGGAGGUCUGGAAACCUGAGCUCCGCCUGAGCCGGUAUCUGCUGCCACUCAGGACUGUGCUCUGAACUUGUAAGGGAAGACAGAGAUCACACCGCACGGCCUCUCUGCUCUAUCACAAUAAUGUCCAUUCUUCAGGAACCAGCUAGAACUCCACCUCCUCCAAGAAGCCCUCCCUGACUUGGAACCCUUCUUGGGGACCCUGAGAACUCAUCCUAGCAACUACAGAUCCAAAAGCCUCCUGCAGACUGGUCUCUGGGCACCCUGCUGUGGCUCGGCGAAGGGGGCUGACAGGGGACACGGGUGGCCUCAGGUUUCCAGAGUCCACUUUCCUUCCGCACCCCUUGCAUCCUGUCAGCUUUCUGAUCAGAGCCUGACUCUGGAGCAUUCUCUCUGCCUUGGCCUCCGGGCCUACAACCUCCAGACCCCACUGGGCUCUCAGCGUAAACAGAAGCGAGGAGAAUAAUAAGGGUCGCAGGCCUUAGCAGGAGCUGGUGAUUACAGGAGGCGGAAUACAAACAAGGCCUUCACAGAGCCAGGUCUGAGGGCGCCCUGCUCUGCUCUCCACAUCCCCAGAACUUCCCAGGGCCCCCACUCUGCACCCCCAGCCCCUCAGGGGUGGGUCCUGC